CUGGUGGUACUUUUUCUUCACUGAGGCUUGAUUCUUCAGAACAUCUGUGAGGUUUAGAGGUUCUUUCAUGGAGACUCGACUGUCCAGAGUGGAUUCUAAACUUGACUUCCCAGUGUGACUUGUCUGGAGUAAAGAGAGAGUGGUCCUAUCUCGAUCUGGUUUGUGGCGAAAACUUUUCCAUGUGUGUAGCAUAUAUUUAUAAACUUUAGA